rnacentral:rRNA from 1 species
AGCGAACGUUAGCGGCGGGCUUAACACAUGCAAGUCGAACGAGAAAGUACCUUCGGGUACGAGUAAAGUGGCGCACGGGUGAGGAACACGUGGGUAACCUACCUUUUGGCGCGGGAUAACGGUUCGAAAGGACCGCUAAUACCGCAUAAGCUGUUGACGGCUUCGGCUGUUACCAGGAAAGGAUGGCUCGCAAGAGCUAUCGCCAUUAGAUGGGCCCGCGUCCCAUCAGCUAGUUGGUGAGGUAACGGCUCACCAAGGCUUAGACGGGUAGCUGGUCUGAGAGGAUGAUCAGCCACACUGGAACUGACACACGGUCCAGACUCCUACGGGAGGCUG